UACGUAGGGGGCGAGCGUUGUCCGGAUUUAUUGGGCGUAAAGAGCUCGUAGGCGGUUUGGUAAGUCGGGUGUGAAAUCUCCACGCUCAACGUGGAGGGGCCACUCGAUACUGCCAUGACUCGAGUCCGGUAGAGGAGUGUGGAAUUCCCGGUGUAGCGGUGAAAUGCGCAGAUAUCGGGAGGAACACCGGUGGCGAAGGCGGGUCUCUGGGCAGUAACUGACGCUGAGGAGCGAAAGCGUGGGGAGCGAACAGG
rnacentral:rRNA from 1 species